AAACUGCUUAGACUGAUCGCACGCACGCCGCGCACCACUUCCUCCUCGCACGUUCGCAUGCACAAGAGCGCUCCAUCCCCAACCUCCCUCCUCUCCCGAUCGGCGCCUCACCUCCCCGUCCCCGCAUCCUCGGUGCCAAGCCGCCCUCCCUGCACCCGCAUCGCCGCCCCUAGCAUGCCGUUCGCUCCGCACGCAUACCACCGAUGACCCUGACCGUCGUGAACCCGAUCUGGCCGGGCAUCCAGGGGAACACCGGCAGUGAGGUCCUGGAGGGGGCAGCUUCUUCCUCCCGUCGCUCUCCCAUCGCUCCUUCCCGGCGCCCACCCACGCCUGGUCCAGCCGCAUCUGGGCGCGCACCGGCUGCGCGACAGGCGACUGCGACGGGCGGCUCCAGUUCUCCACCGCAGGUCUCCCUCCACCACGGCGGCAACGAGCAAUCGUCCUACGGGGUGAGCGUGGUGGACAGCUUCAACGUGGGCCUCUCCGUGACCCCGCACAAGGGCCGCGACAACUGCCCCGUCUUGGCCUGCUGCAAGGACCUGACCCAGAGCUGCCCGGGCGAGCUGCCUGUGCGUACAUGAUGUUCAUCCUCGGCUUGUCACACACGCAAUCUUCUCGGCUUAAUUCCAUCUCUUCCCCAAUUGGAAACAAAUCAGCAUGAGACUCAGCCUUGCCAAGGUCGAGAACGCCUCACAGAUAUGUAUGAGGACGUCUAAUCGAGAUUUCCGGCUGCAGGGCGCAAUUAGUGGAAGAAGGUAUUACGAUUUUCCAGAUUGUGAUUAAUUGCUUCUCAACUCAAUUCCCCUCUUCUAUAGUCUUGUGAGAUCGUUCAUUCAUUCAUAAAGAUCAUCCUCAUACAUAUCUCUUUCUCACUCUGAUUUCAUGUUUUGAUUGGGAUUCGAAAAGAGGAACUGAGAUGUAUGUUCGUGACUUGUAAGCAGCAACAAAAUUUAGCAAUUUAUAUUUUUCUAGCCAUCCAAAUAUCUUGCUCCAUACCUUUCUUAGAAUUUUUUAUUUGAUCAGCAGUGUUCUUAAUUACUUGUACCCUAUAUAUUUGUGUGCUAAUUAGCAAGAUUGUUAGUAUAUCCAUCUGGUAAUGAGAAUGAAAACUGGCAUAUGACUUGACUGAGGCCUCGAAAGGAGCAUAAACAAUUUGUUAGAAUACAGACAAGUACUUCUACUGCUAGGAAUUCAGAACAACUAGCUUAGUUACUGCUGAGGAACAACCUAAUGAAAAAUUAUAGGAUGACAAUAUAUUGAGUAAGCAUGAAACUGUUACUUAUUCACCUAAUAAAAAACAUGCCAAUUGACUGCAACUUUUACUGUGAAUGUUUAUGAACCCACUUUUCUGAAUAACUAAGAUGAUAAGGCAACAAAAUUAUAGUGUAUCAAGUAUUUAUUUGCAACUGAAAUAGAAAAACAGCAUAUGUUUAUGUGGCCUUAGGGGUUAGGGCCCCUUUUUGUUGUCUUUCCCCAGGCCCCUAAAUUCUCAGGACCGGCCCUGGCUCCAAGUCCGUGGCCGACCUGGUUACCACCGUCCGGAUGUUCAAGGUGGUCGUCCCAAGAGCUCUAAGUUAACUGGAGAUGUUCCGUCAUUCAAACAUGUUGAUGGCCAAGCAAAAUAUUCAGGUGAUGCGCCCAACAUGCUUCUGCACGAGAGUUUGCUAUGGGAAGUAAGCAUGAGGUGUGCCUGCUGGUUAUGCAAAAAAAUAGAUGUGUCUAACAAUUGCAUUCUACUUUUGUGGUAAAGCCUGAAUAAGUCUUUGUUGUAUACUCUAAACACUUACAGCAAGAUGAAGCUGGCACAGUGAGGCUAGAGACGGGUCACAUUUGGUCGCACAUGGGAGUUGUUCUUGUGAACGUGGGUGAUGAGAUUGACACAAAGCUGCCGAGGAAGGAGCGGGUGACAUUUGUUUCUAAAGGGUAUCGAGUUUCAUAUGUUUUUAUCUCCUUUGUUAUUCUGAUUACGAGUCGCAUUACCAAUCAUUCAACAAUUAUAGUUUGAUAUUUUAGUUCCAUCUCAAUCAUUCAUUUAUGCCUGAUCAGCCAUGAACGUGCAACUACAUUAAAGUUUGCAUUAAAAUUUUGUUUGCAAAUAGAGGUCAGCGAAGCCUUUUCUUGGCCCAGACAGACCUGCACCGCCUGCCCACCCGACAGGAGCUAUAACUAUUCUACAUAUUUAGGAGACAUUUAAUAUUGUGUGCGGCGUGCAGGCUAUUCAUUUAGGACAUGAUUUCCUUUCAAAAGAGAUUAUGCCUCAUGUAUGUAGUGACGCAAAGGACCCGUGUACACGCGUCACAUAGAGGAGGCGGCUGAUAGCAGGCAAGCGUUUCCCAAAUAUCAUAUUAUAGUACUAGCUUUCUAGAAUUAAAUGGAACUACAUAUUGUUUUCAACUUCUAAGCAAUGUAUUUAUAUGCCUAUUUGACAAAUUCCCCUUUAAUCUGAAUCACAAGAAACAGAGAGUAUACAGAGAGUGCGUGGGAGAAAUUUACGUGCCAUCAUGAGGAAAGAGGGAACAACCUACGGUAGUAUGUUAUACUGACCAGUCUAAAUUGUAGUUCUAUUUUCUUUUUCAACCAGAUUUUUUUCUUGAGAUCAAUAUAUGUUGUAUACUCAAAUCAUGUUGUAUUAAGAAGUAUCAUGACAAAAUUAUCUUCUCUAAUUACUUGUUAUGUUUGACAAUGGGAGGUUGGGGGAUUAAUUAGUAGAUUCAAUGUUCUUAUUUUACAAACUAUCGGAGACCUAAUGGAUGGAACAUAUAUAUAUUAUUGUAUUUACGCAGCAACAUGACUCCACCCUCUGCUGUUCUAUUUUAAAAUACAUCUUAAGUGAUAAUUAAUUUGUUGUCCCGCAAAGCAAUUUUACGGGCCCGGUUGAGUCAUUUUGCAAGUUUUUGUUUGAAAUUCUACCGGCGCUGCAAGUUUAUGUCUUAAUAGUGCAAUGAACUCUUAUUUUUAUGCCUGAUGUAUAAGUACAAAUUUGUUAUAUUUUAAUAUUUCAUGAUUUUGACAACCUGAGUAACUAUCAUUGGUAUCCACUUCAAGAAUUACUAGCAUUGGUACCUGAUGCUUCAUCUUGUUGCAGUGCUGAUUCUAUAUCUCGAGCAAAGCAGAUUCUUACCUCGAUACCUGCAAGAGCAAGAGAAGCAUACAACCAUAGCCAGGUAAUCGUGUCAUUCACAGAUCAUUGGUGACAGAGGCAUAUUUUCUUUAAAGGUGCCUCUGUUUCAUAACAUGUCUGAUUAUGUGUCGCGGGAUUAUAUAUUGGGGGCACUAGCUAGCAAAACAGUAAUUCUUGUAACCCAUCAAGUCGGGUUCAUACCAGCUGCUGACUUCAUACUGGUAAUAACAUUAUCCUUACAAUCGAAGCACUACUUUUUAGAGGCUAAUGCACAUGGUAUAUAUGUUGUUUCAAAUUUAUCAGCAAGUUAAGUUGUUCAAUUCGAUGUGUUGUUUAUGCAUGUUUCCUGAUGAGAAUAAUACAACAGAUUCUGCAUGAAAGUUUUGCUAUCUUUUGUAACAUUUCUCAUUAGAAUGUUCAUGGGAUAAUGGGCCCUUGGUCUCUCAUUUGUGCUUUAUUUUUCUCAUGGCACAUGCUCAAGGAUGGUCAUAUCGCCCAAGAUGGAAAAUAUGAGGAUCUUCUCCAAGCUGGAACUGAGCUCAAUGCAUCAAGAACAAAAUCAAUUGAAGCAACACUUCGUGUAUAAUGUAUUGUGAACCUUGGAUUGAGCUCAUGUGUGUGGUUUAUGUAUUGUGAGCCUUGGAUUGAGGUCAUGUGUGAGGCUAAUGUAUUGUGAGCCUUUUACUUUGUAAUAUGUGAUAAUGAUGUGACAGGCUCAUGGAUUAUGGACACCAAAUUUAUGUGGCAAUUCUGUAAUGUGGAGUACCCAUGAUGACAUGACAAUGCCUAAAUAAUGCCAAUUUUUCUGUCUAAUA